rfam:Clostridium symbiosum WAL-14163 genomic scaffold supercont1.6, whole genome shotgun sequence.
UACCGUGCCACUUGGCAAAACAUCAAAAUACAUGGGCUGUAUUAGUAGACUGUCACCUGACGGGUUGAAAGUUCGGUUCAGUGCAUACAG